rnacentral:rRNA from 1 species
GACGAACGCUGGCGGCGUGCUUAACACAUGCAAGUCGAACGGAAAGGCCCUGCUUUUGUGGGGUGCUCGAGUGGCGAACGGGUGAGUAACACGUGAGUAACCUGCCCUUGACUUUGGGAUAACUUCAGGAAACUGGGGCUAAUACCGGAUAGGAGCUCCUGCUGCAUGGUGGGGGUUGGAAAGUUUCGGCGGUUGGGGAUGGACUCGCGGCUUAUCAGCUUGUUGGUGGGGUAGUGGCUUACCAAGGCUUUGACGGGUAGCCGGCCUGAGAGGGUGACCGGCCACAUUGGGACUGAGAUGCGGCCCAGACUCCUACGGGAGGCAGCAGUGGGGAAUAUUGCACAAUGGGCGGAAGCCUGAUGCAGCAACGCCGCGUGCGGGAUGACGGCCUUCGGGUUGUAAACCGCUUUCGCCUGUGACGAAGCGUGAGUGACGGUAAUGGGUAAAGAUGCACCGGCUAACUACGUG